AAGGAUACAAUUCAUAUGAAUGUUUAAGGGAAAAAUAAAAUCUUAUGUACUGUGAUGGAUCACCAUUUUCUUUUGCCAAUUUAAAUCACCCUUGUUGACCUCACUAGUUUAUUUUAAAUGGAACUGCGGUGUAGCAAAUUAAAUUUAAAAGUACAAAUAUUCAAUGUAUCCCAAUUAAUAUGGUCAUAAACAUGGCAUGCAUUAUAAUGCUAUAUUAAAUAGUUUAUAAUAACAGAGUAUAGCAUGUCUCAUCACUAGAUUUGUCAUAUUCCCAAGUAUUCCAUGUCAACUACCCUUUUUACAACGUUUUUCAUCAUAAAAAAAAAUUAUAAUAAUAAUUUCUAAAGGUUCUGCUGCAGUAACAGAGGACAAAAUUGUGAAUUUGGUGGUUCAGUGAAGUAACCCUAUAACUUUAUAUUUUAUAAACUGGCUGCCCAUAUUUUAAAACCCAAAAAGGCUGACAAAAUAUGCUGUGUUAUUAAUGAUAACCUUGCUCUUUCACAGCUGACUGAUUUAAAUUCAUUACUGCAGCCACAUGGUGGCAUUAUUUCCAGUCUUAUGUCUCAUAAAAAUACAUUGUAGCCUUAACUGUGAUGAUGCUUAGGUUCAUCCUGUAAACUCAAAUGUCUGGUAUAAAAUCAACAGAAUCUAAAAUCAAAUACACUGCUGAAUAUAAUGUACACUUGUCCCUAAUAGCUACUGCAAUAAGAAACUAAUUAUUAAAGCAAUAACAAAAAAUGUACAGAAGAUGGCAGUGUUCACUCAGAUUACAGAAAAUUUGACUCUUCAGUUGGUGUAACAGUUCAAAAAGGAAAUGUGCACAAAAUCAGUCAGAGUCUGAGUUUGAGCUGCUUGUGAUGAUCCAUGAUGUUUCUAUGCAGUGUCUGGUGCAUUCUUCUCUUUUCAGGUGAUGCGGGUGGAGAAGGAAUAGCUCCUCUCUCCUCAUCUAAACUUGCUAACAAUGGUGACUCCAUUACUUUGACCUGCAAUUACAAUGGGUCUUACAGCAGUGAUUCUCUCCUGUGGUAUCGUCAGUACAGCAGCUCCAAACCUCAGUUUUUGUUUCUGGUUAGUGAAUCCGCACUUGAGCAGCCAGCUGACCCUCCAAUACCUGGAGUGACUGCUAAAGUAAAUGAUGAGAAAAACAGUGUGGAUCUGAAGAUCUCCUCUGCUUCAGUAUCAGACUCUGCAAUGUACUACUGUCGCCCUGCAGCCCACAGUGACAGGAAACACAUCCUCUGCUUCAGUAUCAGACUCUGCAAUGUACUACUGUGCCCUGCAGCCCACAGUGACAGGAAACACAUCAACACUAGUAACAAAAUUAAGGGGAAAACAACUAACUACACUGAUGAACUACACUAAACAACAAAUGAAACCUUUAUACUGUAUGACAGUGUCUUUAUUGUAUGAUGCUCUAAAAAUAGAUUUGCACAAUGCUGCAGAAACAAAAUGGACAUAACCAGAAAGCUUAGCAGAAGGUCAAGCAGUUUUAAAUUGUGUAUCAGGUAAAAUCAAAUGAGCAUUUCUAUAAUACAAGGUUUUCUCUAUCACGUAUUUCUUGAGAUUAGACUGCUACUUGUAAAUCUAGUGGUAAAAGCUAUGAAAGAAAAACAUGUUGAUAAAUAUCUACUAAAGAGACAGACCCUGGUCUCAGAAAUACAGUCAUCUUGAUUUUGUCAUCCAAUACAUCAACCAUUAUGUUUAUCUUCACACUUAUUAGUUCAUGGAUUCAUCUGGGUGAGAUUAACUCAUGCAAACAUAUUUUUAUUCAUUUAAAUUAAUAUAAAUCAUUUUGAAUUGAACUGGAAUAUUAUUAAAUGUCAUUUUAUUUCAUUACUCGUCCCUAACCAAGCUAUUUAUUUGUUAGAUGCUCAGAGGCAAAUGCAAGCUUCCCACUAUUGCCAUUUAUGAGCACUGUUGUAGGUAAAAAUGUAACCAUAUUCUGUAGUUACAAAAAAUUCAUUGGAAGAGUGGUGAAUGCAGUGGUACAGAAAGUACGCUGGAUCUUCAUUCUGGAGUUCUUUAUCACAAUCUAUCAACAUGGUCUUUGGCAGCGGCAAAACCAUCUGUUAUCUCACACCUUUCAGGCAAAGCUGCCACAGUACAACUGGGCCAGUGCGCUCACCACACACCAGCUACAGGUGGGGAGGACAGAGAGUCAUAGAGCCAAUCAAGUGGAUGGGGAUUAUUAGGAGGCCAUGAUUAAGAAGGGCCAGUGGCAGCAAUUUGGCCAGGACACCGGGGUUACACCCCUACUCUUUACGAGAAGUGCCACAGGAUUUUUAAUGACCAGAGAGAGUCAGGACCUCAGUUUAAGGUCUCAUCCGAAACAUGGUGCUUUUUGACAGUAUAGUGUCCCCAUCACUAUACUGGGGCAUUAAGACCAACACAGACCACAGGGUGAGCACCCCCUGCUGCCCUCACUAACACCUCUUCCAAAAGCAUCCUAGUUUUCCCAGCCAGA
rnacentral:lncRNA from 1 species